GAUGAACGCUGGCGGCGUGCCUAAUACAUGCAAGUCGAGCGAACGGACGAGAAGCUUGCUUCUCUGAUGUUAGCGGCGGACGGGUGAGUAACACGUGGAUAACCUACCUAUAAGACUGGGAUAACUUCGGGAAACCGGAGCUAAUACCGGAUAAUAUUUUGAACCGCAUGGUUCAAAAGUGAAAGACGGUCUUGCUGUCACUUAUAGAUGGAUCCGCGCUGCAUUAGCUAGUUGGUAAGGUAACGGCUUACCAAGGCAACGAUGCAUAGCCGACCUGAGAGGGUGAUCGGCCACACUGGAACUGAGACACGGUCCAGACUCCUACGGGAGGCAGCAGUAGGGAAUCUUCCGCAAUGGGCGAAAGCCUGACGGAGCAACGCCGCGUGAGUGAUGAAGGUCUUCGGAUCGAAAAACUCUGUUAUUAGGGAAGAACAUAUGUGUAAGCAACUGUGCACAUCUUGACGGUACCUAAGCAGAAAGCCACGGCUAACUACGU
rnacentral:rRNA from 1 species